GGGCCCGCGGGCGUCUGGCGCAGCGCAACGGCGUGCUCGACGUCGCGCAGGCGGCGCUGAGUCAGGCGGUUCAGCUCAACCGCGGGUCCU
rnacentral:tRNA from 1 species